rnacentral:rRNA from 1 species
GGAAUUGACGGGACCCGCACAAGCAGCGGAGCGUGUGGUUAAUUCGAUGCUACACGAAGAACCUUACCAGGGUUUGACAUGCAAGUGGUAGGAAACUGAAAGGGACCGACCUUCGGGAGCUUGCACAGGUGCUGCAUGGCUGUCGUCAGCUCGUGUCGUGAGAUGUUCGGUUAAGUCCGCUAACGAGCGCAACCCUCACUGUGUGUUAUAUGUGUCACACGGGACUGCCGGUUUUAAGCCGGAGGAAGGUGGGAUGACGUCAAGUCAGCAUGGCCUUUAUAUCCUGGGCUACACACACGCUACAAUGGUCGGUACAAUAGGUUGCCAAGCCGCGAGGCGGAGCCAAUCCAAAAAAGCCGGCCUCAGUUCAGAUUGUAGGCUGCAACUCGCCUGCAUGAAGAUGGAGUUGCUAGUAACCGCAGGUCAGCAAUACUGCGGUGAAUACGUUCCCGGGUCUU